AUGUAGAUGAAAGAUGUCUCAGCUCCAGGGACCUGAUUUGCGAUGGAUUUUUUCCCCCAACUCAUGCCACAAAUGCUUCCGCCAGGUCACGCCGGGUCAGCCUCACCCAUUUUUCUGGCCUAAAAUGGGGUUAUUUUGCAAACCGGAGUGGGAGGAACCCUGCAGGUCAAGACUGCAGCCAAGAGGAGUAGCAGAGCAUCCCUGAAGAGUAUCCCUGAAGAGCAUCCCCCUCUUCUGCCUGGAUUCAGACAAACCAGGGAGAGGGGGAACUGCAUCUGUAAUCAAUGAUCCCAAGGCCACACAAUUACAUCAUAAUUAAAGCAAUAAUUAGUCCCAUUAGGGCAGCCUCGCAGCACUCGCUCCGGGCCGUUCUGCAGCAGCGAGCACGGGGAACGGAAAUCUCUCUCCGCUGUUCCAAGCAAAAGAAAAUUUUCUGCAAUCACGGAGUUUUCACAGGAGCCACUGAGAGUUAAAAAGCCAGCUUGAAAAAAUCUAUUUGCACUCUGGCAGGUCUUCAAGUGGAUCCUGACCUACUCGCAGAUAUUUUUUCCUGCCUCGUCUCACAUGCAACCACAUUUUCCAGAUGCACUUAUCUCUCUGCCACAUGCGAUGAUGUGCGACCCUGAAGAAAGCAAAGGAAGUGAUUACCUUUCCCCAGACAAGCGCAGCAGAAAGGUCAGAUUGUAUACGAAGCUGAGGGGCAAUGAGAAGACACAGAAAAUGUACAGGAAUAGAGCACAGCCAUGCUGAAAGGCGAGCGAGUCCGCUCAUCCGGGUGAAAGCCCCAGCAGCACAAACGCCCCAUUCAUCUCCACAGAGGCUCUUUAUUGCGCCCUGCUCUUCACUUUGGGACACGGCUCCGCUUCUGCAGGAGAUACUUUUUUAGGAAGCUCCUGUGAGUGAAGCAGGUGAAUCUCUGUCUCUGCGUGGUCCUCAGCCCCCGGUGAGAGCCCUCUCUGCCGCCGUGGGCUGCGCACACAACCACUGACAUCCGGCGGUCGCCAGCUCCCUCGCCUCCCCCCAAAGCAGGGCAGCUGGAUUCUGCUUGGAUUCUCCCAGGUUUUUAUGAUGGAAAAGCUAUUUUUCCCCAAUUCCGCCCUUCCAGUGGGUGGGGAGCUGCCACACAUCCCCAAUGCUGACCUAAAGUUAAUUAUUCAAUCAUGGCAGUAUCUGUGUGAGAGCGUUGCUGCUUCUUACAGACCGGGCAGUGGGAAUAAAUGCACAGUGCGGCAGCUCCCUGUGUUUGGAGGAAUGCAGUGGCAGUGCCUUUCCAUGCCAUGAAUGCAAUCCGAUGUUUCACAACAUCUCUAUUUAAACUAGAUUUUGCUAUGCACAUUUGUCCCCCAUGAAGCCUGCAGCAGAUUUCAAGGAGAAAUUCUGGCCACUCACUGGGGUUUGAGCCCAGAUCCGACACACAGAGGUUCAAGAUUGGCCGUAGGACACAGGAGCGCCUUUUGAAAUAAUUCCAGAGUGGAAAACCAGCUCCUGCUUUUAGCCUUCUGCCUCGUUUUUGAGUUGAGGAUUCCAAGUGCCUUUCCCAGCUCAGCUCCAGGCAGACCUGCUUGGGUGGGUAAAUGCCUCAAAGGUUUCGGAUAAGACAUCAAACUCUGAAGUGGUUAAAGUUAAGCAAAGAAAGUUUUGGAAGCUCUCUGGGAUAGGUCAGUAAGAAAAAAUGGUGAAUUGUUUCUUUUAAACACAAAGAACAAUUCAGCCAUCGUGUGACUCGUGGUGGAGACAUCAUGGAAGUUAUCAGAUGAAAGGCUGCAUGCUAAAUCUAUUUCAUAAAAGGGAGAAAUUCAACAAUUUUCUGUCCAUGCUAAAGCCUGGGCUUCCUGGAAGGGUACCCUGCUUUGCUUCUGCUGCUCCACAUUCCCCACAUCUGCCUCUGGCUUUUAAAUGAGUGCCAUCAAUCACAGCCUAAUAAUAAUUGUUUAAAGAAUUACUUCUUUCCUAGGAAAUGAGAUCAAUCCCAGUUAAAAGUGAACUCUGUGGAUGUGCCAAAUAUUUAGAGAAUAAAUCUAAGACCCAGUCGUGAUCUGCUUCCUUUCUCUACAGAUCCUGGGUGUGAUCCAGACACCAGCGCUCCCGUCACCUCCUGCGUGCAGCUGAUUGGGGGAGCUUUUAAGGAAAAAGAGAAAUUACACGUAGGACCAAAAAGAUAUUCUGGAAAACCACUAACAGCUGAUUCUGGGCAGCUAGAAAAUCAAAAUACGAUCUAGACCGGUCACCUAGGCCUCCUCUAUUAAAAACCUGCCCCUUUCGGCACGCACCCCUUCAUCUGAAAUGCAGCCCCGCUGACCAAAGAGCUGCGUCCAAACCUCGUUCAGACCCACAUGAAGAGUCUGUGCCCUGCGGUGAGUUUGGCAGUCAGCACUUUACAAAAUAAACUCAGCUACAGAAUGAUAAUUUGCAUAGCGCAUGGUGACUAAAAUUAGCCUCCCUCGACUCCAUCUCAGAGGAAGCCUGACUUGCCACAGCAGUUUCAGGUUUCUUGGCUUUCAGAGAAAUUCAUAGCAUCCGAGGAACACAGACGUGGCUUCUGUGCAGCCCCGCUGCUCUGUGCUGGCACUGUUCUCCAGAGCCACGGCUCAAAGUUGUCCUGCAGCACCAGCAAGAACCUCCUUCCUCCUAACACGGGAACCAGAGGGUGCCGAAACAUGUGGAAGCCCUGUUUUCACUACGAAAGUGUUUAGAAGGUGAUUUAUUAAGGAGAGAAUGCGUUGCAGGUCACAGGGUGGUCUGCCUUGGAUGCAGGAAGGAUAAAAUCUCUCUGAGAGUUAAUCACGACACAAGGCGUGCUGAAAGGUGCUCCUUCUGUAGAAGACAUAGACAAUGUAAAGUUGGUUUAGGAUCAGUAGGUUAACCCUCAUUAGCUGUUGGAUUAACGUGAGAUACCCCAACUUGACUUGAUGUGGACCAUUGCCCCACAUCAUCCUUGCGUAGCAGCUCCUGCUCUUCUGUCAUAAUUGAAUACUGUGGUCUGGGCAGACACGCAGCUCAUACUCGCUGUCUCCUUUGAAUGUGCCGAUGAACAAUGUCCACAGGAGGUUACACUGGGCCACCAUGGACGUCUCUGAUGAAUUUAAAUUAUUCAAGAAGUCAGUCAUCAGCUAAAUGCUAAGCUGUUUUUUUCUUUCAGCUUCAGCUGUGGCUGUAGCUCCUCUUCCCGAGAUGUAUAAAUAAUUCAUUGAGUUAUGUGGUGGGAUCGCUCAGGACCUGUGCUGUAGCUCACUGCUCGCACAGAUCCCUUCUCACCUACUGCACAAACUCAGCUCAGCUCCACCGCGUUUCAUCCGUCCUCCACAGCGGACGUUGGGGGUCGGCGCCCUCGCACCAGGCUUCUCAGGGGUUUGGUUCCUCGAUCACCAUGAGGUUCCAGGUGCCUUUGAAUGCAAUCUCACAGCUACCAGAGCUUCCUAGCUUAAUGCUUGUAUUAAAUUUGUGCAAAAUAAACUUGCUGUAGCAAUGAUCCAGUCAAGUAUUGGCAUUUAUGUUUUAUAUGAAUGUAAGCCAGCAUCUAAUUUCAUUUUCUGCUGUCUUGUAGAAACAAGUGGCAAUGAUUCACUAUUAAAAAUACAUUUUAAAUUAUUUAGUUACUACUUGGACUGCCAUAUACACCUUAUGGAAGGAGCCCAGAGUAAAAGCGGAGUCCCGGCUGGUUGCAGUUGGGAACAGAACAGCCUCGUGACGUGAAAGCCAAUGAUGCAUUGAACUUCUGACCUAUAGGAGCAAUCCGAUCGCCACGACCCAGCUGCUUCUUCAUUUCAGCUCUGUUCAGGAAAACACAAGUCUUCAUUCCACAUUCAGUCCUCUCUAACCUUCACCACUGGAAUUUUCAUAUGAUCCGAGUUAAAUAUGCCAGACUUUGGAGGUAAAAGCUUUAAGUGGCUAAGCGAAAUCCACAAUAUCUUUUUGUUUCUUUAGCUAUUGUCAUUGAGCCUCGCACAGAUCUGAUGAGGCC